AUUGAACGCUGGCGGCAUGCCUUACACAUGCAAGUCGAACGGUAACGGGCCUUCGGGUGCCGACGAGUGGCGAACGGGUGAGUAAUGUAUCGGAACGUACCCUUCAGUGGGGGAUAACGUAGCGAAAGUUACGCUAAUACCGCAUAUUCUGUGAGCAGGAAAGCAGGGGAUCGCAAGACCUUGCGCUGAUUGAGCGGCCGAUAUCAGAUUAGCUAGUUGGUGAGGUAAAGGCUCACCAAGGCGACGAUCUGUAGCGGGGCUGAGAGGAUGAUCCGGCACAAUGGAACUGAGACACGGUCACGACUCCUAAGGGAGGCAGCAGUGGGUAAUUUUGGACAAUGGGGGCAACCCUGAUCCAGCCAUGCCGCGUGAGUGAAGAAGGCCUUCGGGUUGUAAAGCUCUUUCGGCCGGGAAGAAAUCGUAUGGGUUAAUACCCUGUGCGGACGACGGUACCGGCAUAAGAAGCACCGGCUAACUACGUGCCAGCCGCCGCCGUAAUAC
rnacentral:rRNA from 1 species